UACGGAGGGUGCGAGCGUUAAUCGGAAUAACUGGGCGUAAAGGGCACGCAGGCGGGCUUUUAAGUCAGAUGUGAAAUCCCCGGGCUUAACCUGGGAAUUGCAUUUCAGACUGGUAGUCUAGAGUACUGUAGAGAGGGGUAGAAUUCCACGUGUAGCGGUGAAAUGCGUAGAGAUGUGGAGGAAUACCGAAGGCGAAGGCAGCCCCGUGGAAAUAUACUGACGCUCAGGUGCGAAAGCGUGGGGAGCAAACAGG
rnacentral:rRNA from 1 species